rnacentral:lncRNA from 10 species
CUCGCACCCCGCCGCGGCGGACACGUGGGGAAACUGAGGCCCGGGAGUGGCGAUGUGCCCCAACGGCAGAGGACAAGCUCCUCGUCCGGGGAAGGUUUCGUCUUCCGGACGCUACCCCCGGUCCACCCCACACUUUCACGCCCUACCCCCACGGAGAGACCCACGAGCCCACCGGGAACGAGGAGGGGUGCGCGCUUCGCCUCCUCAUCGACCCGCACUCCUGGGACCCCUCUUCAAAGGCACCAGGCUGGGCAGGCGCUGCCCGGAGUUGGACACAGACUUUGUGGCCGGUGGCUAUUUUUAUACCCUGGGUAGUUCUCUGCCUGACUUUUAAAUUCACGAUUUGUUUGAAAACGAAAGGAAGCACUCCUGGCCCGGGCUGCGAGGCACAGGGACUGACCAUUCACGCAGGCUGCGCGUGGUGGCCCGGGUCAGGGGACGCUAAUGGGGAGGGAGGUGAGGAGGUGAUGACCGCGUGUGGACAGCCAUGACACGGCCCAAAGAUAACAGCCCGAGACCAGAGAGGUGUCCUGCUGCCUGGGUGCCCCUCAAGUCGGGCCACCCGGAGCUGGGUUCCACGAGGGCUCCGGUGGCCUGUUCCGGUGGGAGGUCUUGGUUCCACUUGGGACAGAAGUGCCCUGGUUGGGCAGCCCACCCCCAGCACAGCCAGAGCCCAAGGCAGCCCUCUCCCCCUCCCCCUCUUCACUGACCCCUGGGCCCCUACCAAAGGCCACCCCGUCCCCCUAUUCACACACCCUGUCCAACAGGCAGCCUGCCCCACUCCCUCCGGGAUGAGGGCCACUGUUGACACCUGGUCCUCACCCACUGUGGUUACAGCCACAACAGACCCACUUCCCCACUGCACAUGGCAUGCCGGCCCAACCCACUGCCCUUCUAAAACUGAGUUCCUCCUGCCAGGGAGGGGGGCGGCAAACAAAGGAUAGGACUGAGAAAGAGCCCCCGUAAGCACCAACAUACACUGCAAAAGUGCCAUGUGCCCGCCGCGUUCCAGGCCUGUCUCUGUGACUGCUUGGGCCCCUCCUGACUGUACUCAGGUUGGGGGGUUGGGGGGGAGUCCCAGAUAGACAAGGCCUGGGCCAGAUUGCAGGUCCACCUCCUACCAACCGUGUGGCCUAGCUGGGUCACUUCCCUCCUUGUAUCUCAGUUUUCUCAUCUGUAAAGUGGGAACAACCACUCCCUCCUCACUGAGUCACUGAGAUGACUAAGUGAGAUAAUAUGGAGAGUCUGCGCUCGGGAGGACGAGCUCGGUGUGACAGUUAUUGUGAUGAUGAUGAUGAUGAAAUGACGCUGAAUUAGGCAGGCCGUUCGCCUAUGCUCAGUGCAGGGAGAGCAAGGCUCUAUCCAGCCAAAGGGCUCAGGCAGCUUUUGGGAUCACUGGUUCUUGAGUCAGGUUUUGGAGCAGGGAGGUUCCAUCAGGCAGUGGCCGCCCAGGCAGCAGGGCCGGCUGAGCAGCGGCCUGCAGAGAGAAGGAGCAGCAGGCCGCGGACGGCAGGUCAGGACACGCCAGGCAAUGGUGGGAAGGCUGGGCUGAAGUGUCUGAGGUCACCUCCCAAUAGUGGGCGGUGUGGCAUGCUGGACUCUCCACCCCACCCCCAUCUCACUCCUUGUCCCUGAAAACUCAAGACUCAGGAGCUGUUGGUGCCUGGAGUCGGGGAGGCACAUGCAGACAGAUUUCCAUGUGGGUUCCUCCUGGGAAGGCUGAAGGUUCCAGAAGGGCCCUCUGUUCCUAAGAAACACCGGAAGGCGUCAUCCCCUGCUCUAGAGACCACGUGGAGAGCGCACGGAGUCCGGAGUCCUGCAGAUCUGGGCUCACAUCCAGCCUCUGUGCCCACAGACGGUGAAUGGCUCUCAGCCCCGCCCUUCUCUUCCAUGGGGCAGGGGCCUGGGUGCUCGGCCGCCGAAAACACACCAGGUCCUUGAUGGAAAAUGACGAUGCCGCUUGUUAUUUCUGUGGCCACUACUUUUUAUCCUCCCCCUCAGUUUGGAGCUUUUUGGUGCAAAUGAUUCUACACGAAACCUCCCGGGAUAGUGGCUGCCCCAUAUGAAAUGGCCAGGUCUGAGCCAGCCAUGGAAAAAAACACCCCAGCCUUCCCACCAUGUGCUGCUACAGCCAAAACUAUUUUUAUAGUAGUAUCCAUUUAUUCACAACCUGCGAUCUAAGAAGGUUUUGUUUUUUUGUUUUUUUGUUUGGGUCUUUUUUUUUUUAAUUUCCCUGAGGGACGCUUUUUAAGGUACUUUGGCCUAUUUCAUAUGCCUGUCUCGGCUCAGUCUUGUAAACAGUCCCGGGAAUUGCUUGUUGAAUAAUAUUUUUAAAGGCUGGUCUCUGUGCUGGCUGAGCAUGAGGAAGCUGGCGUCUGGGUGGACUGCUCCCAGAAGUUCCCAGGACACCAACGGGGCUCUAAGCUGCUUCCAGAGGUUCCCUGUGGUCCUGAGCUGGUCACUAGCAGGACCUCACAGGGGUUUGGGGAGCUCAGCCUCCAACAAGGGAGGCCAAGGGCUUGGGUACUGCUGGGCAAGGUGGCCCGAUCUGUCCCCAAGCACCUCAGCCUAAGGGGACUCUCUCUCACAUCCGUUGUGGCUCCUUUGGGGACAACACCUUUUGUCUGUGGUGACCGAUGAUGACUCGAGCUGGGAAGUAGAGCCGAAAGCUCAGAGAGGCAAGGGGCCACCCGGCAGGUCCACAUGGAACUGGGACUAGGCCCAGGGGUCCCAGCCCGAACCCCCUUUCUCAGUCAUAGCUUGUCUCUCCAUCAGUCUAGAGGGAAACACUCAAGCCACUUGUCCACACCUGGGCUCCAGUCUGUUCUGCUGAGUGGAGAGGAAGAGAAAGGAUAGGAGGGAGGGGAGAGGAGAGGACAGGAGGGGAGGAGGAGGAAGAGAAGAGGACCCCUCUGCUCCUGGGUCUGGCCCUCUGGCAAAAUGUUUGCAGGCCUGCAGGGCAGUCACCACUGACAGCGUCUGCCCUGGUAGCAGUCAGCUGGCUGGCCCUGCACACCCCAAACCCAAAGCAGUGCAGGGGAAGAGAAAGGUGAGGUCCUCCGAAGGCCAGCCGCUGCCUCCGUCAUCAGCUGGGGUCUUACUUCCAGAACUCUGGGGAGCUGAAUGGUGGCGUGAGCCAAAGAGUUCAGGUGAGUGAGGCUUAAGGGGACAGGAGCUGGUUUGUAAUGAAGAGCCAGGAUUUCAGUGCAGCUCCAGGCAAGAGACAGUGGGUUCCCUCCAGGGGCCACCAAAGAGCCCCACCGAAUCCCAGCGCCAGCCGCAAGGGGUCACAGAUGCUCAAAGAAGGGCAGGAACAGUUCUGAGAGUCCGGAGAGGAGGAACCUGAGCUUUCCAAGCUGCCUCCGAGGUGCCAGUCUGCUGCACACUGCCAGGUACCAUCCCCUCUAACCCCACCCCGGCUGACCAAGACUCUGGUUUCCCCGUUUCCCAGAUGGAAACACUGAGGCGAAGAGCAGCAGUGACUGACUCCAAACCGUGUGGUGACUCUGGCACCACAGUCCCCAGACCCAGGGCUGAGUGUGGUUUAAAUAUGAUCUAUGUGG